rnacentral:rRNA from 1 species
GAAGCGGCAACGGCUCAAAUUUGAAAUCUGACCCUUUGGGGUCCGAGUUGUAAUUUGCAGAGGGUGUUUCGGGCACGGUGCCGGUUUAAGUCCUUUGGAACAGGGUGUCAUAGAGGGUGAGAACCCCGUAUGUGACCGGUCGCCAAACCUAUGUGAAACCCCUUCGACGAGUCGAGUUGUUUGGGAAUGCAGCUCAAAAUGGGUGGUAAAUUUCAUCUAAAGCUAAAUAUUGGCCAGAGACCGAUAGCGCACAAGUAGAGUGAUCGAAAGAUGAAAAGCACUUUGGAAAGAGAGUCAAACAGCACGUGAAAUUGUUGAAAGGGAAGCGCUUGCGACCAGACCUGCUCGCGGGUGAUCAGCGGUGCUUUUCGCGCCGUGCACUCAUCCGCGAUCAGGCCAGCAUCGGUUCAGGCGGCCGGACAAAGACUCGGAGAAUGUAGCUCCCUCCGGGGAGUGUUAUAGCUCCUUGUGCAAUACGGCCAGCCGGGACCGAGGACCGCGCU